GGUCAUGAGUGCCAGUGCGAAGCCCCGGCUCGCUGGCCGGCAACCCUCCCAGACCGCGGUGGGGUGCCCCGGGUGAGGACCAGGUCGACGGACACCGUCCGUCGGCAAGCGCGGAGA
rnacentral:ncRNA from 2 species